rnacentral:rRNA from 1 species
GACGAACGCUGGCGGCGUGCCUAAUACAUGCAAGUCGAACGCUUCUUUCCUCCCGAGUGCUUGCACUCAAUUGGAAAGAGGAGUGGCGGACGGGUGAGUAACACGUGGGUAACCUACCCAUCAGAGGGGGAUAACACUUGGAAACAGGCGCUAAUACCGCAUAACAGUUUAUGCCGCAUGGCAUAAGAGUGAAAGGCGCUUUCGGGUGUCGCUGAUGGAUGGACCCGCGGUGCAUUAGCUAGUUGGUGAGGUAACGGCUCACCAAGGCCACGAUGCAUAGCCGACCUGAGAGGGUGAUCGGCCACACUGGGACUGAGACACGGCCCAGGCUCCUACGGGAGGCAGCAGUAGGGAAUCUUCGGCAAUGGACGAAAGUCUGACCGAGCAACGCCGCGUGAGUGAAGAAGGUUUUCGGAUCGUAAAACUCUGUUGUUAGAGAAGAACAAGGACGUUAGUAACUGAACGUCCCCUGACGGUAUCUAACCAGAAAGCCACGGCUAACUACGUG